rnacentral:rRNA from 1 species
GGGUUGUGAGGUUAAGCGACUAAGCGUACACGGUGGAUGCCCUGGCAGUCAGAGGCGAUGAAGGACGUGCUAAUCUGCGAUAAGCGCCGGUAAGGUGAUAUGAACCGUUAUAACCGGCGAUUUCCGAAUGGGGAAACCCAGUGUGAUUCGUCACACUAUCAUUAACUGAAUCCAUAGGUUAAUGAGGCGAACCGGGGGAACUGAAACAUCUAAGUACCCCGAGGAAAAGAAAUCAACCGAGAUUCCCCCAGUAGCGGCGAGCGAACGGGGAGGAGCCCAGAGCCUGAAUCAGCAUGUGUGUUAGUGGAAGCGUCUGGAAAGGCGCGCGAUACAGGGUGACAGCCCCGUACACAAAAGCGCAUGUGCUGUGAGCUCGAUGAGUAGGGCGGGACACGUGGUAUCCUGUCUGAAUAUGGGGGGACCAUCCUCCAAGGCUAAAUACUCCUGACUGACCGAUAGUGAACCAGUACCGUGAGGGAAAGGCGAAAAGAACCCCGGCGAGGGGAGUGAAAAAGAACCUGAAACCGUGUACGUACAAGCAGUGGGAGCCCCACCACCAAAGCAUUCUCUGGUGUUGAAGGCCCUGCAAAGCAGCAUCGCGGUGGCGGAGCGUCGUUUGCGACGCCCAACACACAAAACAAGCGGUGAAUGCUUUGGGGUGGGGUGACUGCGUACCUUUUGUAUAAUGGGUCAGCGACUUAUAUUCUGUAGCAAGGUUAACCGAAUAGGGGAGCCGGAGGGAAACCGAGUCUUAAUUGGGCGUUAAGUUGCAGGGUAUAGACCCGAAACCCGGUGAUCUAGCCAUGGGCAGGUUGAAGGUUGGGUAACACUAACUGGAGGACCGAACCGACUAAUGUUGAAAAAUUAGCGGAUGACCUGUGGCUGGGGGUGAAAGGCCAAUCAAACCGGGAGAUAGCUGGUUCUCCCCGAAAGCUAUUUAGGUAGCGCCUCGUGAAUUCAUCUCCGGGGGUAGAGCACUGUUUCGGCUAGGGGGCCAUCCCGGCUUACCAACCCGAUGCAAACUGCGAAUACCGGAGAAUGUUAUCACGGGAGACACACGGCGGGUGCUAACGUCCGUCGUGAAGAGGGAAACAACCCAGACCGCCAGCUAAGGUCCCAAAGUCAUGGUUAAGUGGGAAACGAUGUGGGAAGGCCCAGACAGCCAGGAUGUUGGCUUAGAAGCAGCCAUCAUUUAAAGAAAGCGUAAUAGCUCACUGGUCGAGUCGGCCUGCGCGGAAGAUGUAACGGGGCUAAACCAUGCACCGAAGCUGCGGCAGCGAACGUAUCACCCAAGACAACUUUACGGAGUUGACGAUUGACGGAGCGAAGCGACGUCAAAGCGUUCAUUAAAGUCGAGUUGGCUUAGGGAUACGUUCGUUGGGUAGGGGAGCGUUCUGUAAGCCUGUGAAGGUGUGUCGUGAGGCAUGCUGGAGGUAUCAGAAGUGCGAAUGCUGACAUAAGUAACGAUAAAGCGGGUGAAAAGCCCGCUCGCCGGAAGACCAAGGGUUCCUGUCCAACGUUAAUCGGGGCAGGGUGAGUCGACCCCUAAGGCGAGGCCGAAAGGCGUAGUCGAUGGGAAACGGGUUAAUAUUCCCGUACUUGGUGUUACUGCGAAGGGGGGACGGAGAAGGCUAUGUUGGCCGGGCGACGGUUGUCCCGGUUUAAGCGUGUAGGUGUGUGUUCCAGGUAAAUCCGGUUCACUUUAACACUGAGGCGUGACGACGAGGCACUACGGUGCUGAAGCAACAAAUGCCCUGCUUCCAGGAAAAGCCUCUAAGCAUCAGGUAACAUCAAAUCGUACCCCAAACCGACACAGGUGGUCAGGUAGAGAAUACCAAGGCGCUUGAGAGAACUCGGGUGAAGGAACUAGGCAAAAUGGUGCCGUAACUUCGGGAGAAGGCACGCUGACACGUAGGUGAAGUGAUUUACUCAUGGAGCUGAAGUCAGUCGAAGAUACCAGCUGGCUGCAACUGUUUAUUAAAAACACAGCACUGUGCAAACACGAAAGUGGACGUAUACGGUGUGACGCCUGCCCGGUGCCGGAAGGUUAAUUGAUGGGGUCAGCGCAAGCGAAGCUCCUGAUCGAAGCCCCGGUAAACGGCGGCCGUAACUAUAACGGUCCUAAGGUAGCGAAAUUCCUUGUCGGGUAAGUUCCGACCUGCACGAAUGGCGUAAUGAUGGCCAGGCUGUCUCCACCCGAGACUCAGUGAAAUUGAACUCGCUGUGAAGAUGCAGUGUACCCGCGGCAAGACGGAAAGACCCCGUGAACCUUUACUAUAGCUUGACACUGAACAUUGAGCCUUGAUGUGUAGGAUAGGUGGGAGGCUUUGAAGUGUGGACGCCAGUCUGCAUGGAGCCGACCUUGAAAUACCACCCUUUAAUGUUUGAUGUUCUAACGUGGACCCGUAAUCCGGGUUGCGGACAGUGUCUGGUGGGUAGUUUGACUGGGGCGGUCUCCUCCUAAAGAGUAACGGAGGAGCACGAAGGUUGGCUAAUCCUGGUCGGACAUCAGGAGGUUAGUGCAAUGGCAUAAGCCAGCUUGACUGCGAGCGUGACGGCGCGAGCAGGUGCGAAAGCAGGUCAUAGUGAUCCGGUGGUUCUGAAUGGAAGGGCCAUCGCUCAACGGAUAAAAGGUACUCCGGGGAUAACAGGCUGAUACCGCCCAAGAGUUCAUAUCGACGGCGGUGUUUGGCACCUCGAUGUCGGCUCAUCACAUCCUGGGGCUGAAGUAGGUCCCAAGGGUAUGGCUGUUCGCCAUUUAAAGUGGUACGCGAGCUGGGUUUAGAACGUCGUGAGACAGUUCGGUCCCUAUCUGCCGUGGGCGCUGGAGAACUGAGGGGGGCUGCUCCUAGUACGAGAGGACCGGAGUGGACGCAUCACUGGUGUUCGGGUUGUCAUGCCAAUGGCACU